UGAAGGCCAGGUUAUGUAUGUUGGGGAGAAGAUUGUUCCGAUCAAGCUUGAUCUUUGUGUUAAUCAUACGCUCGUGAAGGACCAAUUUUUAUGGGACUUGAACAACUUUGAGAGUGAUCAUGAAGAGUUUGCCAAAAUCUCUACAAGGACACGAGCAUUGAAUAUCCCGAGGUUGGAG